UCAGCUGAGGUCCAGCCUCUUUGAAAGGUGCCACUUGCCACCUCCCACCCCCAUCAGAAUCCCCUACGAACUCUGUUACAAUGCCAAUUCCUGGGCCCCAUCCCAGAUUCUCAGUAUGCAAAGCUCAGGGGCUGAAUUCCAGGAAUAUGGAUUUUUAAAAUUUCCCCAAAUAAGACUUAAGCUCAUUACAGUUGAGAAGUACUAAACUGGUCCAGAGGUUUCCCAAUCCAGCAGCUUCAUCCUGAUCAGGAAUACUGGUUAGAAAUCCCCAGUCAGACCUACUUAAUGAGAAUCUCCACAAGGGCGGCCCAGGGAAAAUUCUCCUGGGGAAUUUGCACAUCCAGGUUUAGAUGGCACUGAGUCCAACCGCCUCAGGCCCAGGAAGGGAAAGGAGCUACGUUCAACCUCAAGCAGCUCAGAAAGGUCAGAGCCUGAGCAAAUACAGUGACAUGCACAGCCACAAAGACACUUUUAAGAUGAAUCAUUGGAAUAGAUGAUCUUCCAUCUGGAAAAAGAAAAAGCAGAAUGAAAAUAAUCCACAGUUCCCACCACAGUGCCUGGCAUAUAGGAGGAAACACAAAUGUGUGGAAUUGAAUCUUCCAUUUACUUAACAGUUUUUUAGUUUGUAAGGAUCUUCCACAUCCCGAUAUAGGAACAGCCAUCAAGUGCAGUGUGCGUGCCAGACAACCUGUCACUAGUUUUACAUACAUUGAUCCAUCGUCAUAUCAAGCAGGAGCUGUUAUUAACUCCGGUCUAUGGCGGUGCAAAUGCACGCUCGGAGAGGUUGAGGAACUGCCCAAGUACCAGUGGGAGCUGGAGGCACUCCUGGGAGCGAGUCCAACGGUUGUCCGACCCUAGGGACACUUGUCAACUCCACCGUCAAAGAACUCAGGAGCACCGCGGUUUGAAGCAGUGCAGCCGCCAACGGUUCCCCUUGCCCUGAUCAACUGGAUUCACUAAACUUCAAUGAGGGAUUCCUCGAAGUCACUAAGACUCUAGUUAGGAAGUUUAAUAAUGUUUAAUGGAGGUUAACAAGGUAUAUCCAACUUUCCAGCCAGGUUUUAACUUACCAGAGCUGAACAGAGAUUAACAAGCCCAGGAGGUGUAAAGGCACCUGCAUGAUUUAAUGGGGUUAAUGAAACUGUCAGAGGUUGGCGGAGAGGGACAGAACUGGAGCAUGCCUCUGUUAACGAGUCAAUCUGGUUGAGGUCAACAGAAUUAAAGAGCAGAAGCCUGCCCCGGUUCGCCCUGGGCACCACAGGGGUAGCAAGGAAAAGAAGCCCAUGGUCGGACCAUGGUCUGUCCUGGUUGGUGGGAUCUGGAAUGCUCCUUUCUUCUUUGUGCUUUCUUGGUGUUGUCUAAAUUGUUUAUAAUGAGCAUGAAUCAUCUUCACCAAGACUGUAAAAUAGCAAAGCAGUUUUUUUAAAGUGCUCUCAAAGCAUUUACUCUCCACUCGCAUAGUUUGUUACAUAUUUCUAAAACCUGUAGAAAACAGUAAGAGAAGUAACAACAACGAUAAUAGUCUUAAAUUAAGGCAGCACUUAACUGUUAUAAAGGGCUAUCACCUGUUACCUCCGUGGGUUUUUGUCACACAGUACAAAAUAGGAAUGUACAAAGUCACUGGUCAGUGGAGAAAGCAAGCCUCCUCUUCUGCCUCCCAGACUGGUGCAGUUUUUUCACUGAGCACUUACUAUGUGACAGGUCCAACAAUAAGCACUUUACUAGAAGUACUAUUAUUCUCUCUAUUUGAUAGAUAAGGAAACAGAAGUUUAGAAGGGUGAAAUGGUUUUUCCAAGGUCACCAGAGAGUGGUGGGUGGGGACGAAUCAGACACAGGUCUAUCUGACCCGAGUCCACUGUGUCCUGCUGCCUACUAAUUGGAUAAGCUAGCGUCUCAUGGGAGCAUUGUUUAGACCAGUGAAGAACUGUCAAAUAUGUCAAAUAAUAGGUGACUGGUUUUAAAAGUAUUAUGUCAAAAUUGUAAAAUAUUUAAUGACAUAGAAGGAUGUUCCUAUCAGUUUAGAAAUACCAGAUAUGUAUAUAUACAUAUGCUUAUUGUAUGAAUAUAUAUAUGCAUGUGGAUAUGCAUAUUUAUAUAUCGUAUGUAUACCCUUGGCCCUCCAUAUCCACAAGUUCCAAAUCGAGGAUACAAAGGGCCAACUGCACCAUGCCAUUUUAUAUAAGGGACCUGAGCAUCCAUGGAUUUUGGUAUCUGUAGGGAUCCUGGAACAAUUCCCCUGUGGAUACAGAGGGACGACUGUACACACUGUAUGUGUGUAUAUAUGUGUGUGUGUGUGUAUUUAUAUAUGUAUAUGUGUAUAUACACACACAUUCCUGAAUUUGUGACUAUGGGUGUAUCUGUAGGUAUAUCAAAAUAUCUAUCUACCAACUCCAUGUAUAGCCAUACUAUAUCUGUAUCCAUAUUAUUCAGAGUAAGGGGGAAAUGGUCAGGAAGGAAAGGGCUUUCUGAAAAUCAAGGGAGCUUCCUGGAAGAAGAGGCUCCUAAGCGGGCCCUCGAGGGAAAUGGAAGGUUUGACAGGAGACAAGGGUGAGGCGAAGUCCAGUCCAGAGCAGAAAGCCCCACAUGCCGGAGUGAGGAGUUUGUACUUUGGAGUCACCAAAUCUGCUAUCAUUAAAAAUCAAACCAAACAACAGAAUGUGGUCAAGAAGAUGUUUGAGUGUCUGCCAUGAGCCAGGUACCUGGGGGAAUCUGGAAAUGGACUCUGCCCUCCAGGAGCUGGGAAUUUCAGAGGAGUUCAUACCUAGACAGGGGUGGAAGGCAGUCCUUCCACUGCUGAAAUCUUAGGGUCCACGAGGAAGCCUUGGAGCCCCUGAGUUCUGAUGAAGGAGCCAAGCGUAAUGAGCUCUGCCGUCUUGGAGAAGCCAGUGAGGCUUAGCAAAUGUAAUGAGCUUAAUUAAGCUGGGGCAGCUAAUGAGACUUCCUGAGGGCUCAUGGCCAUCAGCAAGGUUAGACUCUGCUAAGUGAGCAGAGGGAGGACACCUGUGCCCAGCCAGACCCCUCUGAGCAACGUGCUCAGGAGACAGGGGGUGUGCAAGAGUGGCCGAGCCCCAAGGAGCAGUGCAGUCCAAGGAGCAGGGGUCAGACCCAGCCAUGUCAACAAGCAACCGCCUGGAGUGACAUCACCUGAUGAAGCUCAGCGCCGCCCAAAGAAUGAGGACUGGGCUUCCCUGGUGGCACAGUGGUUGGGAGUCCGCCUGCCGAUGCAGAGGACAUGGGUUCGUGCCCCGGUCCAGGAAGAUCCCACGUGCUGCAGAGUGGCUGGGCCCGUGAGCCAUGGUCCGGAGCCUGUGCUCCGCAACGGGAGAGGCCACAGCUCAGCUAGGGGAAGCUGAACUUGACUGAGCCAGUUUAAACAGUCCAAGGAGGCCCUGACAUUUUCAAUGAUAAGGAUGUUUUCUUUGUGGUUGCUAAUGUCAUCUUCAAAUGCAUACUAUUCAUGUUUCUAUCCAGUAAUAUUUCCAAAGCUGAACAUGGAAAAGUGGUCAGGAUGACAUACCUGCAGCAAUGGUAGCUUUUAUUUGUUAAACACCUACUAGGUGCUGGACACUGGGCUAGAAUACUUAUGUGCAUGGUUGUAAUCCUCACACAAACUUGCAGAGAAGCUGUUAUCAUCCCUAGUUUUCAGAUGGGGUAACUGAGGCUCAGAAAAGUUAAAUAGCUUACCUAGGGCCUUAUAAUGAGCCAGAAUUUGAACCCAUGUCAGUCUGACCCCUCCAUUGCAUCAUGCAACCUCUACCACAGAAGGAAGUAGAAUAUUGGCUGUGUGGGGGAGAUGGAAGAGUAGUAAAAGCAGUUAGAAAAACUCAGGAUCCCAGCAGUCUAGGGUAUUUAGGGGGAAACAGCCCUCUGCAUUCCAUUAGCCCAAAGCAAUAGUGACAGAAGGAUUCCAAGUUACGAAGAGAAGAUUAUGUUUUGUUCAGUAGCUCCUAUCCAAAGAAAAAGAAAGGAAAAAAAACAUACAUAUAUGAUGCAUUUUAGACUUUACAUAGUAGGGAAGCACAGACCCCUGCCCCAAGGCACUUUAGGGGAUCUUGGAUUGCAAAACCCUAAUGUCCCUCGGGAGUUAGCCUCAUGCCCAGGACUCCUGGCUCUGUGAACUUUCUGGGUCCCCUCUCUGCUCUCAUCAACUACCAACGGAAGUUAGAAAAAGUGUGCCCUGGGGCUCUAGGGUCACUGCAUAGGGGAGAGAAUCUUGGCUGAUUCUCUACAUUGAACUCAGAGGAGGGAGAGUGGCCACCAGGUGGCGCCCUCCCCUUAGUGGCAACCCCAGGCCACCUGGGAAGGAAGGCUCAGGGCUAUUUUCUGUCCCCCUCACAAGCUGCUGUGUUUGGUGAAUGCCUUGAUUCAUACCACUGUAAAAAUCUGGACAGUCAAAGCAGAAAGCGACUUAGAUCUCUGGUCCCAACCCCUCAUUUUACAGAUGACAACAAGGUCCAGUGGGAGCCAGGAAGUGCCCAAAGUCACAGAGCAGGCUGAACCCCCUUCUCCUGACCGGUGGGCCUAGUGCUUUUUCCACCACACUAACUGUUCUCACACUCCCCCAAACACCUCGCACACCCCACCUGGGACUGCCAGAAUACUACGCUGAGCCAGAGCUGGCUCAGCUUCCCUGCCAUUCCCCGUUGCUUCCUAACCAGGCCCUGGAGUCCAACCCCAAAUGCUACAACAGCAGCAGUGAUAACAGCUCAUGUUUACCACUUCCUACUCUGGGUCAGCCUAUGAGCUUACCACUUGUUAUUUAAUCAUGAUUGGAUCUUCACAAUGUCUCUGCAAGCUAUUCUGCUUUCCUUUUUACAGAAAAACGCUCAGAGAGGUUAAGAAACCUGCCCAGUGCCACACAGCCCAUCUAACAAGUUCAUCUGUCUGUCAAGCAUCGCAUGGAGUCAGACCUCAGCCAAGUUCAUUGGAAUGAUUUGAGGUUUGCAUCCAGUCCUUGAUUCCAGAAGUCAUACUUUGCACCUACUCCCAUUUACACUUUUAGAACCCAUCUUUAGGAAAAAGGGGACACGGGUUCAAGCCCUGGUCCAGGAAGAUCCCACAUGCCGCAGAGCAACUAAGCCCGUGUGCCACAUCUACUGAGCCUGCGCUCUAGAGCCCGCAAGCCACAACUACUGAAGCCUGCGCGCCUAGAGCCUGUGCUCCGCAACAAGACAAGCCACCACAAUGAGAAGCCCUCGCACCGCAACGAAGAGCAGCCCCCGCUCACCGCAACUAGAGAAAGCACGCACACAGCAACGAAGACCCAACACAGCCUUUUGGCUGAUUUCUCCAGUAUACAUCUAAGAGCAGCUCUUAUCAAAUAGGAAGGACUUGAAACUGUUUUUAACUCCAUUUCAAAAAUGAGGAAGGGAAAGAAAUUAAAGAUGAUACAAACAGAUGGCGAGAUAUACCAUGUUCUUGGAUUGGAAGAAUCAAUAUUGUGAAAAUGACUAUACUACCCAAAGCAAUCUACAGGUUCAAUGCAAUCCCUAUCAAACUACCAAUGGCAUUUUUCACAGAACUGGAACAAAAAAUUUCACAAUUUGUAUGCAAACACAAAAGACCC